AUCAUGGAGGCCACCAUGGUCAUCAUGGAGGCCACCAUGGUCAUCAUGGGGAACAAGGCCAGCAAGGACACCAUGGCUUAGGUAGUGGUGGACAGCAAUGCCAGGAUCAGAGUUCCACUGGAGGUCCAAAAUCAGGUGGUGCUGGUGGACAGCAGUGUCAAGAUCAAAGCUCAUAUGGUGGACGAGAAUCAGGAGGCAAAGGAGGACAGUGCCAAGAUCAAAGCUCCUGUGGUGGCCAGAAAUCAGGGGGUAACGAUGGGCAGUGUCAGGAUUCAG